GGGGGAGUACUUAGUAGUAGAGCGCUAGCGAAUUCGCCUUAGCCGUUGUAUUUUGUUUUCCAUAGCGAUCUACAUUCUUAUCACAGCGGUUGGUGAGUAGCGAAAGGCCCUGGGUUCGAUUCCCAGCUCCCCCA